rnacentral:lncRNA from 10 species
GUUCAUCUCAAUGACUUAAAAUCUAUCAACUGUAUGUAAGUCAACCUCCUGCAAUAUUAAAAACCCAUUAACUUACAUGAUUUACGAGUAAACAGUGUGCUAGGUAAAGAUAAACUUUAGCACCCUCAUUUUAUCCUCAUUUGAAUUACUUUUCUCAUUCAAAUUUAUAAAAAAAAAAAACAAACAAAGCAGUGACCUCUGAAGCUAGUACCAUGUGCACGAUAAGUGAUUCACCAGCGUGUGCAUGAUUCAUCCCCAGCAGGGUUGGUCACCUCCAUUUCUAUGACACCACAAUCAACGGCCACCAUAGUAGCAGGCUUGAGACCUCUAGAGCUCCUCCACAGCUCAAUCACAGCCCUCAAAAAAGAGGCCUGAACUUCAGACAGCAAUGAUGCCGUCAGCUCUCUUUCUAGUGACUAAUACAAGUCCUAUGAGUCACCUGGGCUUUCUGUGUCUGUACCUUUUAAAAUCCAAAAUAAUUCUGUAGUAUUCUCUGUGUUUGCACAGAGUCAGCAUCCCAGUACCUGGUGCAAGAUGACAUUUACACUCCAAAGAAUGCCUUGGAGAGAGAGAGAGGACACCGCUCCCACUCAUGGAGAACCCACAGGCCAAACCUCGAAGAGGAGAUGGCAAUCAACAUAACAGAGUUACGGCAUUCUGCCAAACUCUAUUUGUCCCACAGCUUAAAUAUCAUGUGCUCAUCCUGCUCACAGAUGGAUUUUCUUUUCCUGAUUGCCUGGAUCAACAUAAACAUACAGUCAUGUGUCACUUAACAACAGGAUUUGUUCUAAGAAAUGCGUUAUUAGCAUAAACAUCAUAGUGCAAUUACACAAACCUACUGGGUAGAGCCUACUACACUCAGGCUAUAUGGAAUGGCCUAUGGCUCCUAGUCUACAAACCCGUACUGAAUACUGCAGGCAAUUGUAAUGCAAUGUUCCUUGGGAAGACACAAAACCAUCACCACUAGAAAAUGCCUUUGACCAAGCCUUGGACAGAUGAAGACAAAGCGGAGCACACAUCACGAAAAGUGUCUGUCUCAUCCGCAGCCUGGCCUACCCUUCCCCCAUCAAGGUGGAGAAAAUCAACUUUCCAUAAAUUAUGCAGCCUUAAAGCAAGUGCUUCACUAUGCUGGGAGUUAACAACCUCAUUUGUAAAAUCAGUGGAUGAGACUAUCCUAGAAAAUGACCUUUAAGACCUUUUCCGGGUCUAACUUACACUUUACUAAGAGUGCCGAUUAAAUAAACUUGUGAUGAAAAAGCUUUUUUGGAAGAUGGACGCAAAUUAAUCCAACCUUCUUAUUUUACAGAAAGAAAAACUGAAGGCCAAAGAAAUGAGACAAGGUCACGCAGCUAGCUGACCACAGGCUCAGGGAUACAGCCCUGGGCUGAGCUCACACACUCCAGGGCUUCCUGCACCUUGGCCCACUACCUAGUCAAAAGUCCCCUCCAAAAAGGUAUCACAUGAUCAAUGUUGCUCCACUUCAAAGCAGUUCCCUCCAAAACCCUGCAGUUUUAGAACAGAGCAUUAAAGGAAGUCACCCAAAAAGAAAGACAGCUGUAGCAAAAGUCUAAGGCUUACGGAUAAGAAAGUGACACCUGGUCAAGCUACUCCAGUUCCCCAGCCCACCUUCCUGUGCUCCUCAAACCAAAUCCAAGACCUCCUAGGAUCUAACCAGCACAAGUUUCAGAAAGUCUGUGUCAUCUAAGUUUACAAUGUCUACCCUCAGGAAACUUGGCUCUUCAAACACACAGGAGACUGCCCCUUUUGCACGUGGAAAGCAGUGAGAGGCCAGUUCCCUGAAGCAAGGUAACCAAUGGCAAGAGGAAUGAGCAGAAGCACUGGCCUGAGGGCUCCACAGGAGAGCCCUGUGCAGAUGGGGACCAAGUGGAGAACUUGCCAUGUCUAUUUCUGCAUUGUUCCAUAUUCCAGUGGAUAGCCCAGGUAUGAUUUCAGUUUAUGAAAAUGUCUUGCAAAGAAUCACAUUUUUGGGUCUUUUCAUAUCGUAUUUACUGAUUCAAAUCUAGUGUUUUCAUUUUGUGCCAGUUACUUUCAUAGCCCAGACCUGCAACACAAGCUUAAUCAGUCAUUUAAGACAUUCUGAAACUAUUUAAAGGUAUAAAAUUGAGUAACUUACUUAAUUCUCAGGCCAACAUUUAAUAAUACAUCAUAACCUCAAACACAGCUGGGCACGGCGGCUCAUGCCUGUAAUCUCAGCACUUUGGGAAGCCAAAGUAGACAGAUCAACUGAGGUCAGGAGUUCAAGACCAGCCUGGGCAACAUGGUGAAACCCUGUCUCUGCUAGCCAGGCAUGGUGGCACAUGCCUGUAAUCC